UUUAUUUUAUUUUGUAAGAUGUAAGAUCAUUUUUUUUUUCCUUUCCUGUAAGUUACUAUCUUUGAUUAAAUAUUCAUAUUUUGGAAUGUGUUUUCCUUGCAAUUUUACUUACUCGGCAAUGGCAUGGGGAGACUGGAGAGUAAGGAUUGGGGGUGACACACUGCAUUGAGUGAUGCCAGAGAAAUUUAUGCAAAAAAAACUUACCAACUUCAUUGAAAAGCGACUCAAGUCAGAAAGGGCUGCUUCUAUUUGGACAAGCACAUUGCAACAAACUAUUGAAAUGGCCAGAAAGUUAGAAAUAGUUUUGUAAGCGAUGUUGUGGAGACUUAUGGCUUGAAAUGGCUAAAAGAUUUAGGUCCUGCAUCUUUUGGAAUAAGCGUAACAGAAGUAUGAUUUAACUUAGACAGGGAAGCCAUUUAGACUUGGAGCCUUGAAGGUUUGCAUGGACUUGAUGUUAUCGACCACCUAAUCUGCAAUAGAAAGUAGACAGCUCAACAUUCUCAAUCUCAUCAUUGCACUGCUGAAAGAAACCUUCAAAUCCUCUAGCCAAGAAGGAUUGGAUGAGGUAAAUAGCUCUCUAAAAUUGGCUAAGAAGUAUUCCUCAAUCUCUUUGGAUCAUUUAUCCACUAGUUAUCCAAGUUUAUCGUAUCAAUGUUGUUGGGCUUUCUUUGAAUGAUUGUGAAUAAAUGAAAUUUUUUUGUAUUUCUGUCACCUUCUUGAAGCCAAAGUUCUCUAGAUUUUUGUGUUGAUUCUCAAUCAUAACUGCAUUCUCUGGAGUAGAACCAUUAGCUUGGUAGACUUCUAGAAGCUGGAGCAAUUCUUGUUUUUCAGAUUGACACCACCCAAAGCACCUUUGUUCCACUUCCUAUGAAUUUACCCUUAACUUGUCCAACUUUCUCAUAAAUUGAAAAUAUAUUGAUCCAUUGACACUCACAUCCCACAAACUUCUAAUUACAUCAUCACUCCUUUCAUCUCUCAACCAAGUAGCCUGGUCUUGAUCUUCUCCCUAAUUUUAUAUUAGGAUUUAGUAUAAUUGGGUUGUGGUCAUUUUGUGGUUGACAAGAGCCUCAUCCCCCCUGGUAACACACUGCCUUAUAUAGCCUCUAUCUUAUGCUGGAAAUUUCUCCCUUUUAUUACACCAAGUAUGCCUAAUUCCAAUAAAACCCAAAUUUAUUCUUACAUGAACUCUUUGAGACCUCUUCUUGAGGAAGAGCCAGCCUUGCAUCCAAACUUUUUCUUCUCUUACAAGACAGUUGAAAUCCCCACAGCAAACUCAAGGGCCUUAAAUGCAUUCACUGAGCUUGAAAUGAUCUUCCAGAAUCUCUAUUUCUUGAAUCUUGGCAAAAUAGGAAGCCCAUAGCUGCGUACAAACAACCGAUCCCUACAACCUGAUUAAGAGAUUACACCACUUACUUGCUAGGCAGAUGCAUCCACUACUUUUAAAACAACUUCCUUUUUUCCAUAAAAAGCGCACUGGUACACAAUGACAAUCCACAUAACCUAAGGUCAUCGAUUUUAUUAAUCUUAUCCUUUUCCACCAUAGUCUCAAAUAAGAAAAUAAUGUAUGGGUCAUGGUCCCUCAUGAAGACUCUAACCCUCACCAUCUAGGCAUUACCAAUUCUUUAACAAUUCCACACAAAUACUUGCAUUGCACAUACUCUAAAACACUAAGAAAAAACUAGGAGGAAAAUAAAGGGUCACCAGCUGACUCUGAUCAAUCAAAUCCCCACUAAGAAUGAAAUCUUGUAGCUAUUAUACCUUAGUUUAGAUUGAAACAAAAGCAUGACCUGGUAAGGUAGUUGGGCAGUGAUCAAGCAAUGCAGGUGGAGAAUGACAAUAGAAACAUACUAAUGACCAGUUCCAGGAGAACAAGCUUGAGUCGCAUCUAGACACAUGAGGCAGAGGAGGAAUCCAAAUAACUGGGUGGGGAUCAAAGCAUUUUGCAGAGUGGAGCUUGUGAUCAGCUUGGGAAAAGCUCAGUGCACUAUAGCAAGAGGAAGUUAUCAUGUGUCUAGGGGAACGACAUGGGGAAAGCUGCACCCUUUCAUUAGGUGCUUUGGUUUACAACUUUAAGUUUCCUUGAAGGCUUGAAGCACUUUUUUGUACAUUCAACCGUUUGAAAGAAAUCUAUUCAUUAUAGUUUUCAUUUUUUGUU